rnacentral:sRNA from 1 species
GUGGGGAAGGAUGAGAAGCUUCGACUAAGGUUCGAUUCGAGCGCAGCGAGAAAGCGUUGCCGCAGGCAACGACCCGAAGGGCGAAGCGCGCAGCGCUGAGUAAUCCUUCCCCCACCACCA